CCUCCUUUUUAAGGACCUUCGAACCCCAACCUCCAAUGGCCGAUCUAAACGCAUCUCCCAUCCCUCUCUUUCCCCGUUUUCUUCUCCCACUUCUUCACGCUACAGGAUUAGAGAAUGGGGUUCCAGAGGGGUGCAAUAGGCUCCAGAUGGCUUCAAUGUUCUGUCAAGAAUUACGAUUGGGGGAAAAAAGAAGGGAUAACUCUGAAAAUGCUAUAUCAAAGGAUAUACCCUUUAGAAUCAUCGAUUGGACACCAAUAGAAACGCACAGAAUAUCAUAAGCAGAAACACCAAUAGAAAUGCACAAAAAAUUACACAAGCACGCACAAAAAAUUACAGAAUCUUGAACCUGGAAAACCGAUGAUCAGUAGAAACGCACGGACUAGAAGAAACGCACGCACGAGAAGAAAAGCACGAUCAGUAGAGAGAAUCACGGAAUGCGAGAUCAGUAUAGAGAAAAUGAGAACUUCAUGUAUUUAACCUUUGGAGAAACGCACGAUCAGUAGAGAGAAACGCACGAUCAGUUUCCGUAGAGUAGAGAGAAACGCACGAUCAGUUUCCGUAGAGGAGUUAACCUUGACGUGAUUUCCAGAGUAGAAAAAACAAGAACUUCCGUAGAGAGUUUGGGGAUUGAGGAUUUCCGUCGAGAGGGUUUGGGGAUUGGGGAGGGUUUGGGGAAAGCAAAAAAUAAGGGUUUGGAAACAAGAGUUAAUUUCAGUCGAGAGUUAUUUUGAGAGUUUUAAUAAAAGGUUUGGGUUUUACUAAAAGGUUUAAGGAUAAAUAGAUUU
rnacentral:lncRNA from 1 species